AUUGAACGCUGGCGGCAGGCUUAACACAUGCAAGUCGAGCGGGGUGAUGGUGCUUGCACUAUCACUUAGCGGCGGACGGGUGAGUAAUGCUUAGGAAUCUGCCUAUUAGUGGGGGACAACAUCUCGAAAGGGAUGCUAAUACCGCAUACGUCCUAAGGGAGAAAGCAGGGGAUCACUUGUGACCUUGCGCUAAUAGAUGAGCCUAAGUCGGAUGAGCUAGUUGGUGGGGUAAAGGCCUACCAAGGCGACGAUCUGUAGCGGGUCUGAGAGGCUGAUCAGCCACACUGGGACUGAGACACGGCCCAGACUCCUACGGGAGGCAGCAGUGGGGAAUAUUGGACAAUGGGGGGAACCCUGCUCCAGCCAUGCCGCGUGUGUGAAGAAGGCCUUAUGGUUGUAAAGCACUUUAAGCGAGGAGGAGGCUCAUUUGGUUAAUACCCAAGAUGAGUGGACGUUACUCGCAGAAUAAGCACCGGCUAACUCUGUGCCAGCCGCCGCCGUAACAC
rnacentral:rRNA from 1 species